UACGGAGGGUGCAAGCGUUAUCCGGAUUCACUGGGUUUAAAGGGUGCGUAGGAGGGCAGGUAAGUCAGUGGUGAAAUCUCCGAGCUUAACUUGGAAACUGCCGUUGAUACUAUCUGUCUUGAAUAUUGUGGAGGUGAGCGGAAUAUGUCAUGUAGCGGUGAAAUGCUUAGAUAUGACAUAGAACACCAAUUGCGAAGGCAGCUUACUACACAGUUAUUGACGCUGAGGCACGAAAGCGUGGGGAGCAAACAGG
rnacentral:rRNA from 1 species